GGGAGCCAGCAGUGAGGAAUAUUGGGCAAUGCCCGAAAGGGUGACCCAGCAACGCCGCGUGGAGGAUGAAUGCCGUAAGGUUGUAAACUCCUGUGAGAAGGAACGAAAACUCAGGUUUCGUAAGGGACCUGACUUGACUGUACCUUCAGAGGAAACCCCGGCUAACUACGUGCCAGCAGCCGCGGUAAUACGUAGGGGGUUAGCGUUGUCCGGAUUUACUGGGUAUAAAGGGCGCGUAGGCGGGUUUGUAAGUCAGUGGUGAAAUCCUACAGCUUAACUGUAGAACUGCCUUUGAUACUGCAAAUCUUGAGUUCAGAAGAGAGAGAUGGAAUUCCAGGUGUAGUGGUGAAAUACGUAGAUAUCUGGAAGAACACCAGUGGCGAAGGCGAUCUCUUGGUCUGAUACUGACGCUGAGGCGCGAAAGCGUGGGUAGCAAACAGGAUUAGAUACCCCUGUAGUCC
rnacentral:rRNA from 1 species